AACUAUUCAGUAGUAACACAGCGUUUGGGGAAGAUAAGCAAUUGUUCGCAGUGUGUGUAGUUUCAACUUCACUCAUGACCCAACAGCGUAGGAAAAUAGGAUCGUGACAAACAUGGAGCUUCUCUCUGUGACUGGCACUCUCUGCAAAGUCCAAACAUUUUCCUUUCAGAAAUCAAAGACAUCCCAAAUUCAUGAUUUUCCAAUAAACGUAAGAUUACCCAACACAAUCAACCAUUCCAAUCUUUCUUCUUCUUCUUCAUGUAAUUGGUCUAUUACUACUAGGGUAGCAGCAACAACAUACCCUUCCUUCAAUUCUUCCACCACACAGAACCGCCAUUGGAUGGUGGUCAUGGACACACCUCCUCAAGGGCUCAAUUCAAAGUCACAUGUCGUUGAUUAUUAUGUCAACAUUCUACAAACAGUUCUCGGCAGUGAGAAAGAUGCUCAGAUGAGUAUAUAUGAUGCUUCGUGGGACACCCACUUCGGCUUUUGUUGUGACGUUGAUGAAGAAAUAUCCUCCCAGCUGGCCAGUUUGCCUGGGGUGUUGUUGGUUAGGCCUGACCCGGAUUUCAAUUCUUUGAAAAAGGACUAUAGUUUAUCAAGGGACCAGGUGGUUAACCCGUCAGGAUUACAAAAUAUUACCAAUAUGUUGUUUCCUGCUGGAAAUUCUAAGCAUUGGCUUGUUAAAAUGGAUAAACCUGGGGUUGAGGUUGUUACCAAGGCUCAGAUUGUCGAUUACUAUGCUCAAAUUUUGACCAAGGUCAUGGGAAAUGAGACGGAUGCACAAAUGUGUAUAUAUCAUGUCUCCUGGAAAACCAACUUCGGUUUUUGCUGUGAACUUGACGAGGACUGUGCUCAAGAGCUAGCUGGUGUGCCAGGUGUCUUAUCAGUUCAGCCAGAUAACAGUUUUGAGUCUGAAAAUAAGGAUUACGCAGGUAGUACCUUAGAAAAUAGUUGGAAUUUUUCCAACUCUUCUGAAGCAAGUCAUAAAGCGCCCUUGAAAACAAAGAAAUUGUUUGUGACAGGGCUAUCAUUUUAUACAUCUGAGAAAACCUUGCGUGCAGCAUUUGAAGGCUUUGGUAAGCUAGUUGAAGUUAAAGUUAUCAUAGACAAGAUUUCAAAAAGAUCCAAGGGUUAUGCAUUCGUUGAAUACACCACAGUGGAAGCUGCCAGUGCUGCGCUCAAAGAGAUGAAUGGCAAGAUUAUUAAUGGCUGGAUGAUAGUGGUAGAUGUUGCCAAGCCUAACCCGCCAAGAUACAACAGGAAUCGUGCCGAAUCAUCAAGUUGACAAAAGUGAAAAGCUUUGUACUAUUAUAACCUCUGCUGUAUGAAGUUAGUUUCCUUGAAAGUUUGUGUUUGUCAAUCUUUUAUGCUUUCAGGGCAUGAUAGGGUGAACUAGACUCAGUCAUGUUGGAAUAUCCAAGACAUGUCUGAAUAUCAUAUAAGGGAGAUAAAUGCAAUGCAUACUUCAUUCAAGUAGACUUGCCCGGGAGAUGUUUUGAGCAGCAAGUGUAUCAUCCAUGAAAAGGUUACUUCUCUAUGGCUUAUCCUUCACCUCUGCCUCUAUUCUGAUUACAUAGGUGUCUUUGGUCUACAAGCAAGAAAAAAAAGGCAAAAUGCAAGAAGCUAAAUGUUUAAUACUAAAACACUAUUUGAAAUAGUAUAUUACAAAAUAUCAUGUUAUUACAAUAAGUAUGUUAAUCAAAUACUGUUAAUUCCGUUAAGCAAACUUAGUCAACAAAUGAGGAACCAAAGUAAAAAGAUCUCUUUUGUUUUUA